rnacentral:rRNA from 1 species
UACAGAGGGUGCGAGCGUUGUCCGGAAUCACUGGGCGUAAAGGGCGCGUAGGCGGCCCGAUAAGUAGGGGGUGAAAUCUUGCGGCUCAACCGCAAGGCUGCCUUCUAGACUGUCGGGCUUGAGCACAGUAGAGGCAGGUGGAAUUCCCGGUGUAGCGGUGGAAUGCGUAGAGAUCGGGAAGAACAUCGGUGGCGAAGGCUGCCUGCUGGGCUGUUGCUGACGCUGAGGCGCGACAGCGUGGGGAGCAAACAGG